ACCGUUCGUCUGGGGUGCCACUUGGCUGAGAUUAAACCCAUCGAACCUGAUGUAGUUAGAACUACCGAAGGAAGCGCGACUUGCCAAUGUG
rnacentral:ncRNA from 2 species